rnacentral:rRNA from 1 species
UUCUUGGUCAUUUAGAGGAAGUAAAAGUCGUAACAAGGUUUCCGUAGGUGAACCUGCGGAAGGAUCAUUAAAGAAAUUUAAUAAUUUUGAAAAUGGAUUUUUUUGUUUUGGCAAGAGCAUGAGAGCUUUUACUGGGCAAGAAGACAAGAGAUGGAGAGUCCAGCCGGGCCUGCGCUUAAGUGCGCGGUCGUGCUAGGCUUGUAAGCUUCUUUCUUGCUAUUCCAAACGGUGAGAGAUUUCUGUGCUUUUGUUAUAGGACAAUUAAAACCGUCUCAAUACAACACACUGUGGAGUUUUCAUAUCUUUGCAACUUUUUCUUUGGGCAUUCGAGCAAUCGGGGCCCAGAGGUAACAAACACAAACAAUUUUAUCUAUUCAUUAAAUUUUUGUCAAAAACAAGAAUUUUCGUAACUAGAAAUUUUAAAAUAUUAAAAACUUUCAACAACGGAUCUCUUGGUUCUCGCAUCGAUGAAGAACGCAGCGAAAUGCGAUACAUAAUGUGAAUUGCAGAAUUCCGUGAAUCAUCGAAUCUUUGAACGCACAUUGCGCCCCUUGGUAUUCCAGGGGGCAUGCCUGUUUGAGCGUCAUUUCCUUCUCAAACAUUCUGUUUGGUAGUGAGUGAUACUCUUUGGAGUUAACUUGAAAUUGCUGGCCUUUUCAUUGGAUGUUUUUUUUCCAAAGAGAGGUUUCUCUGCGUGCUUGAGGUAUAAUGCAAGUACGGUCGUUUUAGGUUUUACCAACUGCGGCUAAUCUUUUUUUAUACUGAGCGUAUUGGAACGUUAUCGAUAAGAAGAGAGCGUCUAGGCGAACAAUGUUCUUAAAGUUUGACCUCAAAUCAGGUAGGAGUACCCGCUGAACUUAAGCAUAUCAAUAAGCGGAGGAA